rnacentral:rRNA from 1 species
AACGAACGCUGGCGGCAGGCCUAAUACAUGCAAGUCGAACGCUCGUAGCAAUACGAGAGUGGCAGACGGGUGAGUAACACGUGGGAACCUUCCCUUUGGUUCGGAAUAGCUCAGGGAAACUUGAGGUAAUACCGGAUAAGCCCUUACGGGGAAAGAUUUAUCGCCGAAGGAUGGGCCCGCGUCGGAUUAGCUAGUUGGUGGGGUAACGGCCUACCAAGGCGACGAUCCGUAGCUGGUCUGAGAGGAUGAUCAGCCACACUGGGACUGAGACACGGCCCAGACUCCUACGGGAGGCAGCAGUAGGGAAUAUUGGACAAUGGGCGCAAGCCUGAUCCAGCCAUGCCGCGUGAGUGACGAAGGCCUUCGGGUUGUAAAGCUCUUUUGGCGGGGACGAUAAUGACGGUACCCGCAGAAUAAGCUCCGGCUAACUUCGUGCCAGCAGCCGCGGUAAAAC